UUGAGUGGAUUGCCUAACUCUGCCACCGCUCAAGGUCCGUUCGCAUUUCAUCGUCUGGCAGGGGCGGGGGAACCAAUUUUGGCCUUCAUGUUUCGAAGGCCUUGGGGUUAAGUCACGAAAGCUUCCUUGGAAGCCGUGUGGCCGGGUGACUCCCAUCCGAAUCCGACAGCUCACCUCGCAGGCAUUGGGAGAGGCUAC
rnacentral:sRNA from 2 species